rnacentral:rRNA from 1 species
GAUGAACGCUGGCGGCGUGCCUAAUACAUGCAAGUCGAACGAGGUCUUCGGACCUAGUGGCGAACGGGUGAGUAACACGUUGGUACCUACCCCGAAGUGGGGAAUAACUGCCCGAAAGGGUGGCUAAUACCGCAUAAUACCGCAGGGUUAAAGCAGUAAUGCGCUUCGGGAGGGGCCUGCGUCCCAUUAGCUAGUUGGUAGGGUAAUGGCCUACCAAGGCGACGAUGGGUAGCUGGAUCGAGAGGUUGACCAGCCACACUGGGACUGAGAUACGGCCCAGACUCCUACGGGAGGCAGCAGUAAGGAAUCUUCCACAAUGGACGAAAGUCUGAUGGAGCAACGCCGCGUGCAGGAUGACGGCCUUCGGGUUGUAAACUGCUUUUAUACGGGAAGAUUAUGACGGUACCGUAUGAAGAAGGACCGGCUAACUACGUGCCAGCCGCCGCGGUAA